rnacentral:rRNA from 1 species
UACGUAGGGUGCAAGCGUUGUCCGGAAUUAUUGGGCGUAAAGAGCUCGUAGGCGGCCUGUCGCGUCGGCUGUGAAAACUCGGGGCUCAACCCCGAGCCUGCAGUCGAUACGGGCAGACUAGAGUGCGGUAGGGGAGACUGGAAUUCCUGGUGUAGCGGUGAAAUGCGCAGAUAUCAGGAGGAACACCGGUGGCGAAGGCGGGUCUCUGGGCCGAUACCGACGCUGAGGAGCGAAAGCGUGGGGAGCGAACAGG